UUUACACACUGCAGGGCGGAUAGACUUCUCAGAAGAAAUUCAUUCAGAUCAGUAAACAACCAAGUGACUGCAUAGUUAACAGCGGCUAGGUCUCUGGUGCAAGGUGGGUAAAAGCACUAACCGCAGUUCCAGUACAGUAUUUUAAAUCUCCAAGUUUCAACAACAACAACAAAAAAAAACAUGACAUACUAAAUAAAGGGAAGGGGGCAUUCUUAUAGGAGCUCAGAGAGUGAACUGAACAAAUAUUUCAUAGCAAUUACUAUAAACGCACUCAAAGGUAGAAAUACUUAAGGAAUUAAGGCAAGAGACAGGGUUCUCUCACAGAUAUGAGGUUACAUACAUGUAAUCCCUGCAUUCAGUAGAGCUGGGCAGGAGGAUCGUGAGUUUAAGGUUAGCCUGCAUUACAUGACAAGACCUAUUGUAGAAAAAAUAGGCAUUGUGGAAGAUAGGAUGGCAAUAGAAACUGUAAAGAAGAAAGGAACUACAUAUGUUGCAUUUGUUCUGUCAUUCCCCCCUCCCUUCCUUCCUUCCUUCCUUCCUUCCUUCCUUCCUUCCUUCCUUCCUUCCUUCCUUUCUCCCUUUCUUUCAGGAAGGGAACAGGAUCUUGGUAUGUAGCCUAGGAUGGUCUGGAAAAGCCUAGGCAGCAGUCUUCCUAAGGACUGUGAUGGUGGGUAGUGUGUGCCACCUACCUCCAAAUAGAUACUCUUUAGGGAGAAGUUCAAUAAUUAAAAUGCAAAAUUGGCUAGAUAGGGGUUGAUAGUAGAUUAGACUUGGCAGGAGAAUAAAUCAGCCAAUGUGAAGAUGUAUGACUAGUGAUUAUGCAAUCUGAAGACAGUGAAAAGAAUGAAGAUAAACAGGCUCAAAGAAACGUGGGGUAAAAUUGAGCACAUCAGUGUGCGUAAGUAGAGUACUGGAAAAAAACGGAAGAAGGACAGAGAAAGAUAGUCAAAGAAAUAAUUGCCGAAGCCCUUUCACAUUGGGUAAAGAUAUUUAUCUACAUGCUCAGGUUCAGUUAAUUCCAAGUAAGGUAAACAAAGGCCAUACCCGGGAGACAUGUAGUAAGAUGCUGAAAAGCAAAAGACAACCUCAAAAACAAGAAGGGACUAGAGACCCAUCACAUAUAAGGGAACCCCGAGAACAUUAACAGUUGACUUCUCAUCAGACACAAUACAGGCUUUUUUUUUUUUUAAGUUUUUAUCUUAACACACCAGGGGCUUGUGAGAUGGCUUACCACUUAAGAUUGCAUGCUGCUGUUGGAGAGGAUCUGGGUUCUGUGCCCAGAAUUUACAUGGUGGUCCAUGACCUCCUAUAACUCCAGUUCCAUGGAUGGAUCUGACACCCUUUUCUAACUUCUAAGGGCUUCUGCAUGCAUGUGGUACACAAACACACACACUUACUCAGGUGUCCACAUAAAUACACAUAAAGUAAAUAUUUUAAAAUUUAAAAGGCACCGAGAACUAUCUAGAAAAAUAUCUUUAUAAAAUAAAAGGGAGCAUUAGCCAUAUCAGUUACACAAGAAAAAAAGAUAGACAAGAAAUUUUUUUCUUUCAAGCCAGAUGUGAUGGCAAAUGCCUUUAAUCCCAGCACUGGGGAGGCAAAGACAGGCUGAUGAACCUCUGAGAUGCAGGCUACUCUGCUCUUCCAGGACAUCAAGGACCACACAGAGAAACCAUAUCUUGAAAAAAAAAUCUGUUUUCAGAUGACAUGAUCCCAUAUACAGGAAAACCUAAAGAUUCCACAAAAGAUCUUCAAAACUAACCAAUAAACUUGGUAAUCUUAAUAACUAU
rnacentral:lncRNA from 1 species